rnacentral:misc_RNA from 1 species
AAGUCGUAACAAGGUCUCCGUAGGUGAACCUGCGGAGGGAUCAUUACCGAGCGAAGGGCCCCUGGCCCGACCUCCAACCCUUUGUGAUUGAAGACCUCUGUUGCCUCGGGGGCGACCCGGCCCUGGCUGCCGGGGCCCCCGACGGACCCCUUCAAAACGCUGCAUCUGUGCGUCGGAUUUUGUAAGCAAAUUGAUUAAAACUUUCAACAACGGAUCUCUUGGUUCUG